GCAGCUCUCCUCUGCACCCCAACAUGGGUUAGGGGCUGCUGCACAGGGCUGCGGGGAGACAGGAGAUACUGCCACCAUGGGAAGGGCACUGUGGCAGGGACCAGGGGCCAGGAGCUGCAGCCCCAUGGGGCUGGCCGUGUCCCUUUACCAAAAACCCGUUCUAAAGCCCACUACCAUUAGGCUGUCCCAGCUUAGCUUUCUCCAUCUCGAGUCCCAGCCCCUCCAUGGGCAGAGCAUAGCGCAGUGCACUCUGCUGGGGGCCCACAAACAGCUCUGCACCUCUCCACAGGACCAGAAGGACACAGCUCAGAUAGAGGCCACUUCUGCAGAUUCCUGUAGUAGUUCCAGUGCAAGUGAUGAUCUCCUGGAGAAGUACACAGAGCAACUCGAGCAGGUGGCCAUGCAAGCAGGCACAGAGCACUGCAGACAGAGGUGGGAAGCCCAGGAGCAUCAGUGCUGGGCACGGGACACAACAUCAACAGGGCACAGUACUGCUAAGGAAGAAGCUCAGGGCAGAAGGAGGCAGUGCCAGCGAGCAGCCCUAUCUCAAGCAGCCCAGGUCCCAGCACAGUCACUGGCAGCCCAAAGCCACCUACAGCAUGAGGAGGAACAGCUGCAGGCGAGUGCAGGGAGCACCAUGCAGUGCACAGAGGAACAGCCAUGCUCUUGUGCAAGGAGUAGCAUGCAGCACACAGCUGACAGCAGCAUAGUGGAGCUGCGCGCGCCGCAGGAGGUAGCAGAAAGCAGGGAGAUGGCAGUGUGGCUCCAGAUGGAGCUGAGCCGGUGGCAGCAGAAGCAGCAGGUGACUCUGGAGCAGUCACUGCAACACAUGCAUGCUGCUGCCCAUGCCAAACAGGAACUACAGAAGAGCCAAGAACAACUCCAAGCCCUGAAGAAGCAGCUGAAGGCUCAGAAGGAGCAGAACCGGACCCUGCAGCAGAGCCUGGAAAAGCAGCAAGAGGUGCUGACAGCCACCAAGGCCAGGGAGAUGCAAAGCUUGCAGCAGCUCAGUAGACACAAGCAGACAAUCCACGACCUACAGCAGAAAGCAGCCUCGAGCAGAAAGAAGAUGUCAGAGCUGCUAGAGCAGGUGGAGGAAGUGGCAUCCCUGAAGGCAGAGCUGGCCCAAGCCCAGAGAAAGAUAGGCCACAAUCUUCCACUCCUUGGUCGUUACGAGGAAGAGAGGCAACAGCUCCACAGGGAACUCAAGAAGCAACAGAGGGCCCAGGCGCAGAGCCAGCAGGAGGCCCGCUCCUUCCAGGAGCAGCUGCAAAAGCUGAGCAGCCAAGUUCAGUACUGGCAGGAGUUACACCAGGACACUCAGCAAGCUCUGGCUAGACGGGAAGAUGAACUGUCUGUCUGCAACGCAGAGAUGGAUUUCAAGGAAGAAUUCAUCAAGGCCAUGAGACAGGCUCAGGCCAAGAACAGACGGAACCAUGGCCCAAGGGCAGGAGGACUUCAACCUGAGCCCCAGGCGCCGCUGAAGGACAGAUCCUGGCCUACAGGCAGGGCAGAGGUGGAAAGGCCAGGCCACGAGUGGGCUGACUGCAGAGCCAACACCAAGGGAGGAGGAGGCGGUGGGUCUGUAAGCAGCAGCAUGCCAACAUCUUGUUCUUCUUUAAGUAGUCCACUUUCCUCUGUUGCUAGAAAGGUGCCCUCAGUAUGACAUUAAGUUUCUGUCCAGACUGCUGAGGUAAUGGUUCCUUCAUUCCAGAACAGCUAUACCAAGACACAGGCAACUGCAGACUCACAGCUCAGCCCCAAAGGCUGCUGCCUCCACACACAGCACAGAGUAUUGUUUUUUUUAGGUAAAAGCCCUGCAUGCUUCCCACACCCCAGCCUGUUCUAAUAGCAGUAGGCUGCACCAGGACAGGAAUCUGAUGCUGAUCAAUAACAGCCAGAGUGUGAAAGAGCAGAUGCAGUCAAAUGAGAAACACCACAAGAUCCAGCAGCAAGUCAAACAGACUGCAGAGUUCACAG